GGAAGGGUGGCCGAGUGGUUAAGGCAAAAGUUUGCUAAACUUUGCUCCCGCAAGGGGGCUCCUGGGUUCGAAUCCCAGCCCUUCCGCCA
rnacentral:tRNA from 1 species